rnacentral:rRNA from 1 species
GAUGAGCGCUGGCGGCGUGCCUAAUACAUGCAAGUCGAGCGAACAGACGAGGAGCUUGCUCCUCUGACGUUAGCGGCGGACGGGUGAGUAACACGUGGAUCACCUACCUAUAAGACUGGGAUAACUUCGGGAAACCGGAGCUAAUACCGGAUAAUAUAUUGAACCGCAUGGUUCAAUAGUGCAUGACGGUUUUGCUGUCACUUAUAGAUGGAUCCGCGCCGCAUUAUCUAGUUGGUAAGGUAACGGCUUACCAAGGCUACGAUGCGUAGCCGACCGGAGAGGGGGUUCGGCCACACUGGAACUAGGACACGGUCCGGACCCCUACGGGGGGCAGCGUGAGGGAUACUUGCGCAAUGGGCGAAAGCCUGACGGAGAACGCCGCGUGAGUGAUGAAGGUCUUCGGAUCGUAAAACUCUGUUAUUAGGGAAGAACAAAUGUGGAAGUAACUAUGCACGUCUUGACGGUACCUAAUCAGAAAGCCACGGCUAACUACGUG